rfam:Candidatus Altiarchaeales archaeon WOR_SM1_SCG NODE_6_length_44886_cov_312.3423_ID_001, whole genome shotgun sequence.
AUUCCAGUUGAUCCUGCUGGAGGCUACUGCUAUUGGGGUUCGACUAAGCCAUGCGAGUCAAAGGGUUAUGACAAUAACACUGGCGAAAGGCUCAGUAACACGUGGAUAACUUGCCCUCGGAAGGAGUAUAACCUCGGGAAACUGAGGCUAAUACACCAUAGGUGACAAGUACUGGAAUGUCUGUCACUUAAAAGGGGCCGUUGUUAUGUCCGACGGUCACCGUCUGAGGAUAGGUCUGCGGCGGAUUAGGUUGAUGGCGAGGUAAUGGCUCACCAUGCCUGCGAUCCGUACCGGCUAUGAGAGUAGGAGCCGGGAGAUGGGUACUGAGACACGGAUCCGGGCCUUACGGGGUGCAGCAGGCGCGAAACCUCUACAAUGCACGAAAGUGUGAUAGGGGAACCCCAAGUGCUUCUGUAAAACAGGAGCUUUUGUAGUGUGUAAAAAGCAUUACGAAUAAAGGCUGGGUAAGACCGGUGCCAGCCUCCGCGGUAAUACCGGCAGCUUAAGUGGUAGUCGUUUAUUGGGCUUAAAGCGUCCGUAGUCGGUUUGGCAAGUUCUCUGUGAAAUCCUGCAGCUUAACUGUAGGGCUUGCAGAGAAUACUACCAGACUUGAGGUCGGGAAGGGUCAGGGGUAUUCAUGGGGUAGCGGUGAAAUGUAUUGAUCCCAUGAGGACCACCUGUGGCGAAGGCGCCUGACUGGAACGAGCCUGACGAUGAGGGACGAAAGCUAGGGGAGCAAACCGGAUCAGAUACCCGGGUAGUCCUAGCCGUAAACGAUGUGGCCUGAAUGUUGCAGGAAUCUUCGUGUUUCUGCAGUGUUGAAGGGAAACCGUUAAGGCCACCGCCUGGGGAGUAUGGUCGCAAGUCUGAAACUUAAAGGAAUUGGCGGGGGAACACCACAAGGGGUGGAGUCUGCGGUUUAAUUGGAUACAACGCCGAGCAACUUACCAGGGGCGACAGCAGAAUGAAGGCCAGGUUGAAGAUCUUGCCGGACGCGCUGAGAGGUAGUGCAUGGCCGCCGUCAGCUCGUACUGUGAAGCGUGCGGUUAAGUCCGUUAACGAGCGAGACCCGUACCUCUAUUUGCAACCUAUGUCUAUCAGAUAUGGGGCACUAUAGAGGGACCGCUGGCGAUGAGUCAGAGGAAGGCGCGGGCUACGGUAGGUCUGUAUGCUCCGAAUCUCCUGGGCUACACGCGGACUACAAUGGCGCAAACAACGGGAUGCAACUCCGAAAGGAGCGAGCUAAUCUCUUAAAUUGCGUCCCAGUUCGGAUUGUGGGCUGUAACUCGCCCACAUGAAGCUGAAAUCCCUAGUAAUCGCUGGUCACUAUCUAGCGGUGAAUAUGUCCCUGUUCCUUGCACACACCGCCCGUCAAACCAAUCGAGUGGGUCAGGGAUGAGGCUCUCUCAUACGGGAGAGUCGAAUUCCAGGUCCGCAAGAGGGGUUAAGUCGUAACAAGGUAUCCGUAGGGGAAUCUGCGGAUGGAUCACCUCCA